AAGUCGUAACAAGGUUUCCGUAGGUGAACCUGCGGAAGGAUCAUUACCGAUUUUAGCGGACCUGAUCUUUCGAUCAUGGUCUCGCAAAAACUUGUAUUUAAAACCCCACUCUUAUAAAUUGAAUCAUUUUAUAUGUAUAUAAUAAAUAAAGAUCACUUUCAACAACGGAUCUCUUGGCUCUC
rnacentral:misc_RNA from 1 species